AAAACAAAACAAAACAAAAAAAAAAACCACAUCAGGUCCUCUCGCCAUCAGAUUUUUUUCCGUUCAGCCUAUGGAGCAGCGGUCUCCAAAGUGGAGCGUGCACAAGGCAGUUCCAUGGGGGUGCAGGAACGAAGCGCUGUUAACAGUGGAACCUGCCGGCCGACGCCGGGCCCCGCGGAGGAAGGCGGAGGGCCCCGCGGAGGAAGGCGCAGGGCCCCGCGGAGGAAGGCGCAGGGCCCCGAGGAGGAAGGCGCAGGGCCCCGCCUGCCGCCAGAGGGCACCCGCGGCCUCCGCCGCUCCGCUCGGCCCGGCUGCGCUGCAGGCGUGAGGGAAAGGGAACAGUGCUGUGCCCUCGCAGAGGAUAUUAUAAUACCUCAGUUGGAUAUCAAAUAAUAACAGCUCUGAUACAUCUAAUGCUGGAACCACUGAUUGUGAGAUUCCCAGCAAAGUGAUGGAACUAUCUGAAUGCAAAAUCUGGAUGGCAAAAGGUCAUGGAGUCCCAUUCAUCCAUUUCACUUGCCCUUCCUUUCACUAGAAAUGGAAGUCCCCGGCUUCUUAAAUCUAUUGCUCUCAAAAGGCUCCUGGCUACAGUAAUGAAGAUGAAGAAUAUGACUCCUGAGGAAGGUGAGGAACUAUUUGGAUUGCUUGGUAUUUUUUUUUCUACCUCCUUUCUCCAGUAUAUUUCACCUCAGCUGCAAAGACAGCAUCCUGAUUUCAUCUCCAUGAGAAAAAAAAAAAACUGAGUGGAGAAAGGUGUCUGUUUUGGUUUUUUUUUCUCAUUACCACUUUAAGAAUUUUCAAAGAAAGCAGGCCCUUUCACCAAGAAAUGCUUCAAGUUUUGAGCUAUGUGCAAACACUUGAGAAGCCAGUGAUCUGCUUUGCAGCAAAAGCGUAAGGGAUAAGCACUUUCUGAGAAGUAAACCACCUGCAGUUUACACUGGAAACAA